rnacentral:rRNA from 1 species
AAAGUGGAGCUAAUACCGGAUAGUCUGGCUUUAAAUAAGAAGUCGGUAAAGGAUGCCUCUGCAUAUGCAUUCGUCCGAGGAUGAGCCCGCGUCUCAUUAGCUAGUUGGUAGGGUAAUGGCCUACCAAGGCAACGAUGAGUAGCUGGUCUGAGAGGAUGAUCAGCCACACUGGAACUGAAACACGGUCCAGACUCCUACGGGAGGCAGCAGUGGGGAAUAUUGCGCAAUGGGCGAAAGCCUGACGCAGCAACGCCGUGUGAGGGAUGAAGGCUUUCGGGUCGUAAACCUCUGUCGGAAGGGAAGAACGGGCAUUGGUCUAAUAGGCCUUUGUUUUGACGGUACCUUUAGAGGAAGCACCGGCUAACUCCGUGCCAGCAGCCGCGGUAAUACGGAGGGUGCAAGCGUUAUUCGGAAUUACUGGGCGUAAAGCGCACGUAGGCGGCCUUGUAAGUCAGGGGUGAAAUCCCACGGCUCAACCGUGGAACUGCCUUUGAAACUGCAGGGCUUGAAUCCUGGAGAGGGUGGCGGAAUUCCUGGUGUAGGAGUGAAAUCCGUAGAUAUCAGGAGGAACACCGGUGGCGAAGGCGGCCACCUGGACAGGUAUUGACGCUGAGGUGCGAAAGUGUGGGGAGCAAACAGGAUUAGAUACCCUGGUAGUCCACACCGUAAACGAU